GUUAGACCGCCGUGGAUCCUAUAGAUGUGGUUUUUGACGGUUUUUCAUCAUUUUUAUCAUGAUGACUCCAUUAUAACUAAAUUAUUCAAUGGAUUACGUUAAAACAAUGUUCUGUUAUGAUUAGCAGCAGUGAUGAUCACCAGGGCUUUCGUAAUUCGAAUUACCUUGAAGAAGAAACAGCAGGCGACGCAAUGGUCUUAACAUUUUUUUUCCCGGAUAUCUGAAAAGGAUUAAAUCUAAUCUUUUGAUGUGACCACGACGUGAACACGAUGUGAGGUAACUGUGGACAUGGUGUAAACUGUCAAUGGUAUGAAAGAACGGUUUUUCAGUAAUUUUUUUAUUCUAUAAUAUUUAUUUCUCAAAUGCAGGUAUGCAGAAGUAAUAUUAAAUCAUUAUAUACUAAUCUUGAAUACCAUUGUCUAGACAUAAAUGUGUUAUUGACUUACUUUUUACCACAAAAGUUUCGUACUGAUUUGAGAUUCGCCUACAACCUGGAAAAUAAUAUGGUCCGACUCCAAUUUCAUUCAUUAAUGACGCUGUGAUACAUGCAUUUUUUACUGAAUUUGACCAGAGGUAGAUUUAGUAAGUUAAAUACAGUAUUUCCUCCGAAUAUGGCCCUUCUGAAUAGAGCUACUUCUCGUAAUCUUUGCUCGAGCGCUUUCGUCACUAUAUAUUUCUGUUAAUGAGUGUUUAGAUAUUUACAUAUGUAAAGAGACACGCAGUCCUAUUCAGAGGUAAAGCCAGCUGAGUCAAGUCAUGGUUCGACAUAUUGGUAGGGGAAGUAACUUCUAAGAAUCAUAUUCCCCUCACCGCCUUCGAGCGGCCUUAUUUGGAAGUAAUACUGUAAGUCAAAAUUAUAUCUAUUUCUUAAAUUAAGUUAGAUAUCGAGUUCUUGAAACGAGACCAUUUUUUGGGGCAUGCUUCCACGUCGUUUACAAUAUGACGAUAACUUGUCCAUAAAUUCUGUGAAUUUAAGCACACCGUUCCACCCCCUCGCUCCAAUUGUGAACUCUGAAAUGUAAAUAAUUUUAUUAAAACGAAGUAUCGUUUAUCACAUAUUGUAACGGCAGAAAAAUAAAAAUCAUCAUGAGGUGGCACUUUCCUCGUACAAGAUAUAAAAGGAAAAGAAGUUCAGUGACAAGUGUGAGAACCUGAAAAUAUGAGUUUAGAAUACUCACAGCUCUGUUAAUGUCACCUAUGCAUACCCAAUUGUGAUUUUUGUUAGCACUAUUAGAUACAGCCCAUUUUGAAUGAUCCUGUAAUGAUGUAAACAUCACAUUUGCCUCGGGAAAAUUAAUGGACUUGAUGUUCAUCACUCUGCAAUAAUCGACAACAAUUUUGUACUGCAAGUUCGUAAGAUAAAUAUGUUUAUGAACUGUGCGUAUCUAAUAAGUAUGUGCCAAAACUUACUUUGUACCACUACAAUCUGAUGGCAAUAUGCCAGGACCAUGUACCCAUGUCUCAGCCAAAAGAUCUGCUCCAAGUUGCGGUGCAACAAAUUCAUCAUACAGAUCUGCAAUUACAUAUAAAAUUAAAAUUGUGAAGAUUAACUAUACUGUACUGUUUUGUAGCAACAUAUAUAUAUAUAAGUAUAAAAAUCCAAAGACAGUAAGUAGUCAAGCUAUUGAACGAUUUAAGGAAUGCCAUUGAAAGCCUGGUUAUUAAGUUUCAUAUUAAUAAUAAGAAGUUGUUCAUAUCAUAAUUAUUAAAUCGUUUUGUUUUGUUGUAAAACAGAAGCAGAACCGGAGUAAUUUUAAUUGUUCUUUGAUCAUUCACAGCCACUAAUUGUAUUUAGAAUUAACAUUUCCACCAUACAUUGCUAACAAUUUUCGUCAAAAAAGCAUUGUCGAAGUAAAGCCUAAUCUGCAAUUCCUACGGAAAAGAAACAUUGAAGCUGAGAAUAAAACAUUCUUUACCCUUUUCCCACUUGUCACUUUUGGCAAAUGAUAUAAAUUCAGUUCCACUCAAAGACUGAAUUGAUGUUUUAUGGUUGUACGGAGCAUUUUUGAUGCGAAUCCUGUUAGCUGCUUUUGUCAGAACCGGGUACUGCUGAGUAAGGUCUUCUGGCAAAUUAUUCUUGUAUGUAAUAAUUUCAUUGUACAUCAAUUGCAUGCCUAUAAGAUCAAACUGAUCUUUAUCUACAGAAAUACACAAGAAGCUUUGUCCAUACAGUUGUCCAGUUUUAGGAUAGCUGUAACCUGCAUCUGAAAGUGAUUUUACAUCCACAGAUCUUUCUUUGCGAGCUCUUAGUGGAGGCUCAGUGCCAUGAUCGGGUGCUGGAGGAUAUCGAGGCACACUGUGAAUCAACCAGAAACCUUGGUGGGUGUCUGCUAUCACUACACCUUUGGAAUGCCCAUACUUUACCGUAGCAGUCUUAUUGGGCGCGUGGUCGUUAUAUAAAGUCCAAAGAAUUGAGUUGUUCUAAUGAUUAUAAAAUAAAUGUUAAUUUCAACUUUUUCAA